rnacentral:lncRNA from 1 species
UUCAUGAAAUAGGAUCCUAAGUAAUGAUCAUUAUUUUUCUGUAAAAUAUAUACUGUAUCUUUACAGAUAAAAAAUCCAAGUUUAUACAGUGUAGUUUCCUUUAUGUGGGCAUAUGAGUCUGCUUGAUCUUACUUUAAGAAGAUACUGUGAGACUUAAAUGUUACAAGGUAAAACAAAUAAGAAAAGAUUAUAUGUCCCUAUCAGAGUCAUCCUGGUUACUAAUUCCAGUUAUUAUGUCUGUUGAAUUUAUAACAUUAAUUUUGUGAAAUCUGAUUUUAAGACUUAAAAGCAACGGUGCUCCAUCUUGAAAUGAAAGGUGUUAAAUGUGGACUAUUUUUCAGUUAAAUAAUUUCAGGAGUCAGGAGAAUGUACAUUUCUGCUGCUUAAAAUCUUUUUCAUUUUUGCAUAGGCAUGUGACAUAUUUUUCUUCCCAUUUAAAGCUUUGUAUCUGUGUUCAUUCUAACAUUCAUCUUCAGAUACUAGAAGGAGAGAGCUUUACUUUGCGCACAGCAGCUGCUUCCUAUCUAUUUUCUAAUGUGUUUUUAAAGGGCAGUGCUCUAAGAAGAUCCUCCUUCUUCAGUUAUCUCCUCCUUUUCUGGCACCUGUGGUCAAGUGCUUCAGAGCUUGGGGAAUGAGUAGCUUGGCAGUCAGG